CAGGGUUUCACCGUGUUAACCAGGAUGAUAAAUGGCUUUUAUUACCUUGAGGUAUGUCCCUCCUAUGCCAAUUUUGCUGAGGGUUUUAAUCAUAAAGUGAUGCUCAAUUUUGUCAAAUACUUUUUGUAUGUCUAUUGAGAUGACCAUACAGUUUUUGUUUUUAAUUCUGUUUAUUUAUCAUAUUUAUUGACUUAUCAUAUGUAUU
rnacentral:lncRNA from 1 species